AUAAGCAGGUAUCCCAGCAUACCUGAGGAAGCCUCUGGUAAUCAAGCAGGUCUCCUUCCCCGGUUUGCUCUCGCGUUCCCCGAACCCCCGAGCAAGCAGGUCUCCUUCCCUGCGGUUUGCUCUCGCGUUCCCCGAAUCCCCGAGCAAGCAGGUCUCCUUCCCUGCGGUUUGCAGGGGGGGUUCGGGGAACGCGAGAGCAAACCGCGG